UAACCUACGGGACGCAGCAGUGGGGAAUAUUGGGCAAUGGGCGCAAGCCUGACCCAGCAACGCCGCGUGAAGGAAGAAGGCUUUCGGGUUGUAAACUUCUUUUGUCAGGGACGAAGCAAGUGACGGUACCUGACGAAUAAGCCACGGCUAACUACGUGCCAGCAGCCGCGGUAAUACGUAGGUGGCAAGCGUUAUCCGGAUUUACUGGUUGUAAAGGGCGUGUAGGCGGGGAAACAAGUCAGAUGU
rnacentral:rRNA from 1 species